AAAGGAGGAACCCAGGGCCCGUCAGGAAGGAGAGCAGCUUCUUGUGAAGGAGGAGACUGAUAGCAGCUUUCCAUUAACCGCUGCUCCUAUCAACGAUGUUAAGGAGAGGCUGAUUGUUAAGGAAGAAGCUUCUUUAGACCACAGACCUCCUGAUGACCUGCACGACCCAAAGCCCCCCCACAUAAAGGAGGAACAGGAGGGAGUCUACAUCAGUCUAACAGGAGAGCAUCUCAAUGGGAAAGAGCUUUAUCCAGACCAAAUUAAAGGCAGAGAGGUUCCAGAAGAGAAUGAUGGAGAAGAAUCCAUCAGGAUACAAAAUCUUGGAGAUGCUUCCAUUUCUUCAGAGGCUGAAGGCAGUAAGAAGGAUGAAGAUUACAGUGAUGUAGAGCACCCUCUCUCUGAGCUGAAACACUUGUCAGACUCUGCAUAUAAGAAAUGUUCUACAAAGAAGAAAAAUGUGGAGUCAAAUAGGAAAGGCCACACAGGCGUAAAGUUUAGCUGCAAAGACUGUGGUAAAACAUUUAUUAAAAAAUCCUCUUUAAAUACACACAUGAGAAUCCAUACAGGACAGAAGCCUUUCUGUUGUGAUCUAU